rnacentral:lncRNA from 1 species
AGGUAUGAAGUCUUCCCCUACUCCACGACCCUCUCUUUUGGGUAGAAUGGCUACUAGGGCCAUUGCUAUGGGCAGAUGAAUUGAUUUCAAUUUUUUUGAGAAAUACAACUUCUUCAUUAGUCCAUGGCUAGAAAAUAUGGGAUGAAAGAAUUUUUGUUCUAUGAAUAUCCCUAUGUACCCUAAACUAGUUAGAGAAUACUAUGAAAAUAUGAGAAGAGGAGC